CUUUAAGGAUUUUUUUUUGUUUUCAUUUUUCUUGUGGCAUGUAUAGGUGACACGUGCUGAUUUGAAUGAGGAAAAGGCCAAGAAAUCAAGCUUAAACUAUGAGCCAGCUCCUGGAGUCUCCUUUAUUCACGACUCACCAAUUAGACAAGACUACCAUCCAAAUCGCUGUCAAGAAAAAGUAUGUAUGAUGAAAUUCACUAUAGAGCAAUUAAGGAUAUUUUCUAAUAUGUUAUUAGAGAAAAAUCUGUGAAUCAGACAACCAGCAAGAUCAUCUGUUGAUUGUAGUCAGUUUUCCUCUUUGCCUUUUUCUCUUCCUUGACUUUCACUCUCUGUUAAUCUUGAAUUUUGCCAAGGUCUGAAAUUAUUGUUCAAAGAGUUAUUGUUAUUGGGGGGUACAAAGUUACUGUUAUCGCCAUUUUGCCCAGGGGCCUCAGGAGGGUAGAUUGGGGGAGCUUUGGGAGGUUUAAUCAUCACAAAGAAAAUAUCCAAUACUACACACUCACUCCAUAAUGGGAAGGCAUUACAGGAAAUGCCUUUGCAGACCCUUGCAGAUCUGGCUCAAGGGCUGAGCACCCUGCCCCUUAGGUAAGUGAACCAGGAUGCCUAGAUCUAUUUCAUAAUUCUCCUGGGAGUAAGAAGAAUCUUAGGAUGGCUACUCCAUCAAAAGAAGGGGAUCACAAAGAGAGCUGCAACUUGGACCAGGCGAAGAGCAUAAGGUAAGUCUGAUAAGCCCCAACUUUGGGGCUAGACAGAGGGAUCAUGAACUAGAAAGGGGUUCAGGGGAGUAGCACAUUCACAUACUUUUUCACACGUACAUGAGAGUUUCAUAGACUGUCCAACAAACACAAAGGCUGAGACAUACUGGCACCAGGAAGAUAUUUCUUGAUUUAAUAGUAUAGUGAAAAUGAGCUAAA